AGCGAACGCUGGCGGCAGGCCUAACACAUGCAAGUCGAACGAAGUCUUCGGACUUAGUGGCGGACGGGUGAGUAACACGUGGAAACGUACCUUUUGGUUCGGAACAACUCAGGGAAACUUGAGCUAAUACCAGAUGAGCCCUUAGGGGGAAAGAUUUAUCGCCGAAAGAGCGGCCCGCGUUAGAUUAGCUAGUUGGUGAGGUAAAGGCUCACCAAGGCUACGAUCUAUAGCUGGUCUGAGAGGAUGAUCAGCCACACUGGGACUGAGACACGGCCCAGACUCCUACGGGAGGCAGCAGUGGGGAAUCUUGCGCAAUGGGCGAAAGCCUGACGCAGCCAUGCCGCGUGAAUGAUGAAGGUCUUAGGAUUGUAAAAUUCUUUUACCAGGGACGAUAAUGACGGUACCUGGAGAAAAAGCCCCGGCUAACUUCGUGCCAGCCGCCGCCGUAAUAC
rnacentral:rRNA from 1 species